CUGCGCGCGCUUGCUCACACAACGCGCGAUGCUUUCGUGCACAGGUCCUCUCAGAACAGCAGGGUGCUUGGUAGAACCUCACACACUUGUGUGCGGUGUACUGCACACACACAACAUGCCAGAGGCCUUAUCUUGACACUUUUGGACACUUGGGUAGUGUCGCGCAUGCACUCCGACGCACGACCAGGCCGUGUGUGUACCUUUUUACUGACACUUUGGUGCCUAGACACUGCAAAUAGAAGCAAUUGACCUCUGUUGAUGUUUUCUCCCAUUUUAUUUCCAUUUAAAUGUUUGUAAAUUAACGAACACCAUUUACAAUCAUCAAUGAAUAUCAUCCAUUAUCAAAUUAUCAUAAAAACACAUAUUAAUCAUAGAAAACAUCCAUGAACACACAAACACACUUCUGUUUCUAUUAAAACCGCAGCAACAAUCCAUUUU
rnacentral:lncRNA from 1 species